AUUCCACUCAAGCCACCUUGCUUGGUAUUGGGAGACUACAGAAAUGUAGCUCCCCAAAGAUAGCGGCGGAGUCGUGUUAUCCUCUGAGCUUAGUAAUUACUUCAGCUUGCGAGUGAGGCAUGCCCCCUGCCGUAAAACCCCCAUCUUUUUAAU
rnacentral:misc_RNA from 2 species